UAGAUGGAGGUCUGCAAGUUUUAGGCGUCUAGCUGUUAACUAGAAGUUUGUGGGAUCAAGGCCCACCCGUCUA
rnacentral:tRNA from 1 species